rnacentral:rRNA from 1 species
AGCGAACGCUAGCGGCAGGCUUAACACAUGCAAGUCGAGCGCCAGGUUUCGGCCUGGAGCGGCGAACGGGUGAGUAACACGUAGGUCACGUACCCUAUGGUGGGGAAUACCCCGGGGAAACUCGGAUCAAUGCCCCAUAUGUCCGAAAGGAUGAAAGCGCUUCGGCGCGCCAGAGGAUCGGCCUGCGGCCCAUUAUUUAAUCCUAGUUGGUGAGGUAACGGCUCACCAAGGGUACGAUGGGUAGCUGGUCUGAGAGGACGAUCAGCCACACUGGAACUGAGACACGGUCCAGACUCCUACGGGAGGCAGCAGUGGGGAAUAUUGGACAAUGGGCGAAAGCCUGAUCCAGCCAUGCCGCGUGAGUGAUGAAGGCCUUCGGGUUGUAAAGCUCUUUUGGCGGGGACGAUGAUGACGGUACCCGCAGAAUAAGCCCCGGCUAACUUCGUGCCAGCAGCCGCGGUAAGAC